AGUGGCGAACGGGUGAGUAACACGUGAGCAACCUGCCCCAAACUCUGGAAUAAGCACUGGAAACGGUGUCUAAUACUGGAUACGAGACCAACCUGCAUGGGUAUGGUUUGGAAAGUUUUUCGGUUUGGGAUGGGCUCGCGGCCUAUCAGCUUGUUGGUGAGGUAAUGGCUCACCAAGGCGACGACGGGUAGCCGGCCUGAGAGGGCGACCGGCCACACUGGGACUGAGACACGGCCCAGACUCCUACGGGAGGCAGCAGUGGGGAAUAUUGCACAAUGGGCGAAAGCCUGAUGCAGCGACGCCGCGUGAGGGAUGACGGCCUUCGGGUUGUAAACCUCUUUCAGCAGGGAAGAAGCGAAAGUGACGGUACCUGCAGAAGAAGCACCGGCUAACUACGUGCCAGCAGCCGCGGUAAUACGUAGGGUGCGAGCGUUGUCCGGAAUUAUUGGGCGUAAAGAGCUUGUAGGCGGUUUGUCGCGUCUGCUGUGAAAAUCCGGGGCUCAACCCCGGACUUGCAGUGGGUACGGGCAGACUAGAGUGUGGUAGGGGAGACUGGAAUUCCUGGUGUAGCGGUGAAAUGCGCAGAUAUCAGGAGGAACACCGAUGGCGAAGGCAGGUCUCUGGGCCACUACUGACGCUGAGAAGCGAAAGCAUGGGGAGCGAACAGGAUUAGAUACCCUGGUAGUCCAUGCCGUAAACGUUGGGAACUANGUGUGGGUCUCAUUCCACGAGAUCCGUGCCGCAGCUAACGCAUUAAGUUCCCCGCCUGGGGAGUA
rnacentral:rRNA from 1 species